UGUAGACCGGAGCUGUUCCUAUUCGGCCAUCUUGGCUCCUCCCCUGACAUGAAGAGCACAAAAUUUUAAGACAAAAACUGAAAAAAACUUCCAAGUUUACAAAUAUUUUGGAAAUGUAAGGAGAUAGAUAAGAUUCGAAAGUUACAAUUUCUAUUGAAAACGUCAGUGCUCUAAAUUAUGGCACACAAGAUUUGAAUGAAUCAUAGAGUAGCCAAAUCAUGUAUCCAGAUCUUCUGGAAGACCUGUGGCAGUCUAUUGAAGAAGUGAGCAGUAGAAUAUGAACUCAAAGUCUGAAAUUUGGAAUGCCAGAUAAAGCUGGAUAAAGAUAAUGGAUUUAAAGAUUGAACACAAAGUCAUACAAAGGAACAAGGAAAUGAAUGGAAAGAAAGAGAAAAUCUAAUUCUUGUCAAGAGAGUCUUCACUAUGCAUAAAAUUACUUAAUAGAAGUAACAAAUAAAAAAAAAGAAUUCUAACUUUGGUCCCAGGCGCAUAUUUACUGUAAAACAAACUCUAAUUCAGUUUUUCACAACCAUGAUCAGCUAGUACAUGUCUUGCGUGUCUGGUGUCUCUUGCUGUGCAUGUUGGAAUUAUUGCGUAUAGAACUUACUGCACUGUACUUGGUCGAUUUUACUACUACUUGAAGAGGAUUAAAACAAAACAUGGUUAAUUUUCUCUAUAUCCCAAAUUUCUUUCAAAAUAUGGCCAAAAAGUCAAAACCUAGUUACAACUUCAUUUCCUUGUUUAAUCCCACACAGCUUUACCAAAACUACUUUGAGACGAAUUUCUUAGGCCAUCUCAACUCUAAAACUAUGUUUAUACAAGAGGUUUCAGCAAAUUUUUCAGACCCUUAUCUCAUGGGUAUCCAGGAGUGGAAUCCAGUUCAAUUUAAAAAGAACUUCCAGCUUUCAUUAAUUGCGUGAAAUUUUACCAAAACAAACAAAAUAUAAACAAGCAAACAACAAGCCAAUAAUUGGUCCUGAACAGUGGUUUGGUAAUUCCCCUAUUAAAGAUGAGAUAAAGAAAGAAAUUCAAAGAGAAUGCUAUAAUUGGGAUUAACAUGCUUAAAAAUUCCCCUUGCCCCUCAGUAAAUCUAUUAAAAGAAAAUUAAAUGGAGUGCAAACACAACUAAAAAGCAAAAGUUGGAUCCUUUUUUUUUUUUUUUAAUUCACUAAGGCAAGGACUUAGUGUUCUCUCUGAAUAAAUGUACUUGCUCAAUAUCUCAGGAUAUCUCACAGUAUAUUAAAUGCUUUGCUUGUUACAAAUUGAGAGUUGGUAAGUUUAAAACAGCAAAGGCAUAUUCUACUUUAUUUUUCCUUAUAACAACAUGACUGAUGGCAAUUUUCACCCAGAGUAAUGUUACUGAAAAAGACAACACGUGCAUAAAUAGAAUGCAUAGUUUUCAUUACUUUUUUUUUCCUGCAGAUAAGCAUAAGAGAGCAGAAAGAAAAAGCAUCAUGUAAAAAAAGAAAAGAUAAUCAAGGGAAAAUAGAGUUUGAUGCACAUUGAAGCAAAAUACCAGAUAGGAAAAAAAGAGGCAGUAAAUUAUUCAGAAACGAGAGGCAAAAAGAUUGUGUGAUAUUUACUAAAGAAUAAAAUGUGAAUGAUAGAUUAGGAAGAAAUAAGAAAAAUAAGACAAAAAUCAAAUCAAAUAAAAACGUAUUGGCAACAACGUGGCAACAAUAAAAAGUUGCUAGUAAUGUGGUCAGUGGGGCCACCAUGGUUAGUUUUAAACUUUGGCUCCAUCUGUGCCUCAAUUUCCGAACUUAAAAAGUGGGUAUAAUAGAGAUAAUGUAAAGACAAAAUGCAAUAAUUAUUUUGAAGGGCUCACAAUAUUAUAUAAUUUACGGUAGCCAUUACAUAAGUAAAAUGCAUCAUUAGUAGUACUAUAUUUAUAGCAUGUUUAACACAUUACAAAAUGUUUUCAAAAACUUUAGCUCAUUUGAACUUUAAGAAAACUUUGAAUAAAGUCAAGGUGGAUAUCAAUAUCCUCAUUUUGCUCAUUAGGAGAAUGAAGCUCAGUAAGUUACUCAGUGUGUAUAAGCUCACAAAGUUACCACCUGGUAGAACUAGAACUUCAAGUCAGGUAUUUGAUUUCAUAGUUUAGUAUCUUAUUUUUGUCUUUUGGGGGGAAGAAAAGUACCCACUAGCCAUUUGCCUAAAAGAAAACCACAAAAGAUGUUAUUACUAUUUUAAAAAUUAUAUUUGAGACACACUAUUACUUAUUUAUGAACUUAAUUUAUAAUUAUUUAUUGAGAAUUUAUAUGUAUCAGACAUAUAUUCUAGGUGCUUGGGAUACAUUACUGAAUAAAAGUAAAACCCACGCCUUUAUAAAAUUUAUAACCUAGAUGGAGGAUAUUGACCAUAUUAAUAAACAUUAGAAUAAGUAAUUGAUGUAGUGUGAUAAAGAGGACAAGUGCUAUGGUUAGACCAGGGAAGAGGAGGAUCAGGAGUAUAGAGUGGUAGUCCAAUUGCAAAUGUAGUAGCUUUUAAUAGAUAUUAUAAUUUAUAAUAACAAUUUUUUAAAGAAAUCUAAGCCUCAGAACACAUUUAAAAUAUUAAGGGAUUUUUCACUGUUUAUUAGCAUCAAAUAUUUUAAAAUAGUUAUAUAAAUAUUAUUUCCCAAUUAUUUAAGGCAUAAAAGUAAAAGGCCGAUAUAAUGAUGUACUAAUUAAACAGAUAUUUGUAUCUUUAUCUAUAUGUCUAUUACAAUCUUGACAGAUAAAAGAACAACUUCCUUAUUAUAUCAGAGCUCUUACGAAUAAUAAUAUGGGCAAAGAAAAUAGGCAAAUAAAUAGGUAAAAGAGUAAAAGACAAAGUAGGCAAAAUAGUUCACAGUAAAGGAAAUAGCCAAGAUUAUAUUCUUAAAAAUCACUCUCAUUAAUGAAAUAUAAAACAGAAUGAGUUAUGUGAAGCCAUCUCACCUAAAAGAUUGGCACAAAUUAAGAACGUUGACAACACUCAAAGCAUGUAAGCGUAUAGGGAAAACAGUCUUUACAACUGAAAACUGAGAUGGCUUUUCUGAAAGAUGAAUUGGUUGUAGUUAUGAAAAGUGAAAAGCACAUUUUGACCAAACGGGGUCAUAUCUCAAUAUUAAACUACAGAAAACCUUAUAUGAGUAUGCACCAUUUGAUGUAUGUGGUAGGUAGAGUUUUCACAUGGCCUCGAAGAUUCCUAAUCCCUAGUGUUCAUACAUUUCUUACAGUCAUUCAAUUAAACACUAAUCUGGGCACUACUGUGAAGUGAUUUACAGAUGUAAUUAAAGUUAUAAUUUAGAUGACCUUCAAGUAGCGAAAUUACUUGGCUGGGCUUGAUUGAAUCACAUGAGCCCUUUACAAGCAGAGAGAUGGUUCUGGAUAAUGGCAGGAAAAGGAAGUCAAAGAGCUGUGAUCUGGCUUGCCUGACCAAAGCAAACAUUCAUUCUGCACACUGCCUAGAAGGACCACAUGGCAAGGAACUGCAGGUGUUCUCUAGGACUGAGUGGUCCCCAGACAACGACUAGCAGAUCAAUGAGGAUUUUGGUCCUACGACCUGAAGGGAAUGAACUCUGCCAACAAUCAGUAACCUUGAAAGAGGAUCCUAAGCUUCAGAUGGGAACACAGCCUGGCCAACACAGCAUUGAUUUCAGCCUGGUGAGACCCUGAGCAGAGAAUCCAAUCAUGCAGUAGAUUCUAACCUACAGAACUAUGUACUAAGGCUAUUUUAAGCCACGAAGUUUGUGAUUAUUUAUUAUGCCACAAGAGAAAACUGAUGCAAUGUAUAAGAAUGCUUAUGUCUUUAUUACUUGGCAAUAAUAAAAGUCUGAAAAAACCUGCUGAUGAAUGGGUGAAGGAAGUUAGGGAGUAAGAGGUGAUUUCUAUUUUUCACUACAUGAUAAUAACAACAUUAAGUUAGUUGAUGAAAUAAUGAAAGUAGCAUAAAAUAUCUUUUGGUUUUAUUUGCCUUCUCUUCACCCAUUGUGAGGCCUUGAGUCCCAUCCAAGGGUUUUAGAGAUGGCCAAACACAUGACACUUGACCCUGGACGGAUCACUUUGACAGCAGUUUAUUAGUCACAUAAACUCACAGCCUGGGGGAGAAGAAUGCUAUACACCAUGCAGGGCCAAAAGGGCUUGCAUUCCAGAGCAGAGUGAACAGGCAGAAGCUACGAGUGGCAAGCUUCAAGUAAGAAGCAAUUGGGUGACUCCUGGUUCCUGUGAGAGGAUGUAAUUGGCUUGUUUGAAUACUUCUGUAGUCUGGCAGGGAAGUUAGGUUUGGAAUCAGCUGGAGUAGCUCAUCUAGGCGAUAGAACUAGCCAGGUGUGGGCGAGAAGUCUUUUCUAUUGUGUGGAUGGCAUAUUUUUUGAGAGCAGGGGAGCUGGUCGGUUGCCCUUUGGGGAUCUGUGAGGCUCAAAUUUAUCAAGGAAGCUCUUAAUAUUGCAUCUUAAUGUCAGGCCUUCUAUUGUACUUCCCAAAUUUAUUUCUACAUGAAAUACCA
rnacentral:lncRNA from 1 species